GACGAACGCUGGCGGCGUGCUUAACACAUGCAAGUCGAACGGAAAGGCCCUGCUUUUGUGGGGUGCUCGAGUGGCGAACGGGUGAGUAACAUGUGAGUAACCUGCCCUUGACUUUGGGAUAACUUCAGGAAACUGGGGCUAAUACCGGAUAGGAGCUCCUGCUGCAUGGUGGGGGUUGGAAAGUUUCGGCGGUUGGGGAUGGACUCGCGGCUUAUCAGCUUGUUGGUGGGGUAGUGGCUUACCAAGGCUUUGACGGGUAGCCGGCCUGAGAGGGUGACCGGCCACAUUGGGACUGAGAUACGGCCCAGACUCCUACGGGAGGCAGCAGUGGGGAAUAUUGCACAAUGGGCGGAAGCCUGAUGCAGCAACGCCGCGUGCGGGAUGACGGCCUUCGGGUUGUAAACCGCUUUCGCCUGUGACGAAGCGUGAGUGACGGUAAUGGGUAAAGAAGCACCGGGUAACUACGUG
rnacentral:rRNA from 1 species